ensembl:snoRNA small nucleolar RNA snR60/Z15/Z230/Z193/J17
UCGAUACAAUGAUGACUGCAUAGUUCAGCAGACAAACCAUGAAGAAGAUGAAUUGUCUUUCGCUCCUAGUUGAUGUAUCUG